GAGAUUUCGGUCUCUAGCGGCAGACGGAUGAGUAACACGUGCCUAACCUGCCUCAUAGAGGGGGAUAGCCUCCCGAAAGGGAGAUUAAUUCCUCAUAACAUCAUGCCUUUGCAUGUAAGUAUGAUCAAAGGAGCAAUCCGCUAUGAGAUGGACCCGCGGUCCAUUAGCUAGUUGGUAAGGUAAUGUUCUCACCAAGGCAAGGAAAAAUAGCCGACCUGAGAGGGUGAUCGCCCACACUGGCACUGACUCCCCGCCCAGAGGCUACGGGAGGCAGCAAGUCAGCUGUGAUUACUCGACCCAUCCAGAAU
rnacentral:sRNA from 1 species